AAAUUGAAGAGUUUGAUCAUGGCUCAGAUUGAACGCUGGCGGCAGGCCUAACACAUGCAAGUCGAACGGUAACAGGAAGAAGCUUGCUUCUUUGCUGACGAGUGGCGGACGGGUGAGUAAUGUCUGGGAAACUGCCUGAUGGAGGGGGAUAACUACUGGAAACGGUAGCUAAUACCGCAUAACGUCGCAAGACCAAAGAGGGGGACCUUCGGGCCUCUUGCCAUCGGAUGUGCCCAGAUGGGAUUAGCUAGUAGGUGGGGUAACGGCUUACC
rnacentral:rRNA from 1 species